GACGAACGCUGGCGGCGUGCUUAACACAUGCAAGUCGAACGAUGAAGCCGGAGCUUGCUCUGGUGAAUUAGUGGCGAACGGGUGAGUAACACGUGAGUAACCUGCCCUUGACUCUGGGAUAACUGCUAGAAAUGGUAGCUAAUACCGGAUACGACCCUCGGAGGCAUCUCCAGGGGGUGGAAAGAAUUUCGGUCAAGGAUGGACUCGCGGCCUAUCAGCUAGUUGGGGAGGUAACGGCUCACCAAGGCGACGACGGGUAGCCGGCCUGAGAGGGUGACCGGCCACACUGGGACUGCGACACGGCCCAGACUCCUACGGGAGGCAGCAGUGGGGAAUAUUGCACAAUGGGCGCAAGCCUGAUGCAGCAACGCCGCGUGAGGGAUGACGGCCUUCGGGUUGUAAACCUCUUUUAGUAGGGAAGAAGCGAAAGUGACGGUACCUGCAGAAAAAGCACCGGCUAACUACGUGCCAGCAGCCGCCGUAA
rnacentral:rRNA from 1 species